AUCAGCUAAUUCGGCGAAUGUGUUGCCACUCUAGACCGUUCUGCGUGGCUGCUGUGUUUAUAAACUUUCUGAGGAAUUUCCUUUAGGCUAACAUUUUGCCAUUCACAUUGAGCUGUGUCUUUGGUGUAGCUACCAUAUCACAGUUUUUAAAGCUGCUGAUGGCUGCAUGGUUUUUAUCACAGUGCCAUUCCUCUUUCUGCCAGCCCCGACACUAUGCCAGUUUGCGGGCACACAUUAAGUCUCACAUAGUUGAGGCUGUGCCGCACGGAGGACCUGAGCCCUAGGACCAUGCCUCAGGACUACCUGACAUGAUGACUCCUUGCUGUCCCCAGUCCACCUGGCCGUGCUGCUGCUCCAGUUUCAACUGUUCUGCCUGUGAUUAUUAUUAUUUGACCAUGCUGGUCAUUUAUGAACAUUUGAACAUCUUGGCCAUGUUCUGUUAUAAUCUCCACCCGGGACACAGCCAGAAGAGGACUGGCCACCCCACAUAGCCUGGUUCCUCUCUAGGUUUCUUCCUAGGUUUUGGCCAUUCUAGGGAGUUUUUUUCUACACCUGCAUUGCUUGCUGUUUGGGGUUUUAGGCUGGGUUUCUGUACAGCACUUUGAGAAAUCAGCUGAUGAACGAAGGGCUAUAUAAAUAAAUUUGAUUUGAUUUGAUUUAUAUUCAUGUAUACUACAGACUCAUUACAGGCUUAUAUAAUGUAUAUUACAGACUCAUUACAGGCUUAUAUGCAUGUAUACUACAGACUCAUUACAGGCUUAUAUAAUGUAUAUUACAGACUCAUUACAGGCUUAUAUGCAUUUAUACUACAGAAUCAUUACAGGCUUAUAUACAUUUAUACUACAGAAUCAUUACAGGCUUAUAUACAUUUAUACUACAGAAUCAUUACAGGCUUAUAUAAUGUAUACUACAGACUUAUUACAGGCUUAUAUACAUUUAUACUACAGAAUCAUUACAGGCUUA
ensembl:lncRNA